rnacentral:tRNA from 1 species
GCAUGGCUGGCUCAGUCAGUGGAGCGUGAGACUCUUGAUCUCAGGGUUGUGAGUUCGAGCCCCGUGUUGGGUG